rnacentral:rRNA from 1 species
AUGCACCGCGGAUUGGAGGAGCUCCACGGGGAGGGCCAUCUUCGCUGCCUCACCUCCGUCGUGUCUGACCACAGCCCUUUGCUACUCGAUUGCUCCUUGAUGCCACCAACCCAUCGGCGAUUCCACUUCGAGGAAUUCUGGAUCCGGUUGGAUGGCUUCCAGGACGUCGUCGCAGCAGGCUGGCACUCCAUCCACGACCCCGACCCCUUCAGGCAGCUCAUGCUUCGCAUGAAGGCCACGGCGCGCAAGCUUACGAGCUGGAGCUCGAGGACGAUUGGCAAUGUAUGGCUCAAACUUCCAAUCUCUAGAGAACUCCUCCGGCUAGAUACCGCGCAGGACCACCGUGCCCUGUCCCCGCACGAGGUUUGGCUGCGCCGACAAAUCAAGGUGUCAUACCUCGGCCUCGCCUCCCUCGAGCGCACCAUUGCCCGACAACGUUCCCGCCUCGCAACCCUCAAGGACGGCGAUGCCAACACAUCGUUCUUUCAUCGGCAGUGCACGUACCGGCGCCAAAAGAAUAGGAUUCAUAGUACCCUCGUCGGCGAGGACGUAAUCACCGAACCCUCGGAGAUAGCCGCGGCGGCCUACGCUCACUUCGACGCGCUCCUGGGCUCGAAGGCGCCCCGAGACUGCGCCCUCGACCUCUCGGACCUCAUCACCCCUGCCAACUUGGAGGACCUGGACGCCCCGUUCGACGCCGACGAGAUCUGGCAGGCGGUCAAACGGCUCCCCGCGCGCGAAGCCCCUGGACCCGACGGCUUCAUGGCUGAAUUCUUACGCGCGUGCUGGCCCAUUGUUCGGCAGGACUUUGUCGACGUCUUCAACCAGCUCUACGCAAUGCGAGGCCGCGGCUUUAGCUGCCUUAAUCAGGCGCUGCUCACCCUGCUACCCAAGCGCGCAGACACCCACGCCCUCGGCGACUUCAGGCCCAUUAGCCUCAUCCACUUGGUCGCCAAGAUUUUGGCCAAAGUCCUGUCGCUGCGCCUCGUGCCCAAGCUCAACUCACUCGUCAGCACGAGCCAGAAUGCCUUCAUCCCCGGACGCAGCCUGCAUGACAAUUUCAUCCUCGUCCCCCAGUCAGCCCGUCUGCUGCACCAGCUCGGCGCCCCACGCGUACUCCUGAAACUGUACCUGGCACACGCCUUCGACUCGGUCAGGUGGCCAUUCCUGUUCAUGCCCUUCGCCGAUACGGUUUUGGCACCAGGUUCCUCGAUUGUCUUGCCAUCUUAUUCUCUUCGGCAAGCACCAGGGUGCUCUUUAACGGAGAGCCAGGCCCAGCAAUCUGGCACAGAUGUGGGUUCCGCCAGGGCGACCCCCUAUCUCCCCAGCUCUUCGUGCUCGCCAUCGACACGCUAG